rnacentral:rRNA from 1 species
UUGUUGGUAAGGUAAAGGCUUACCAAGGCUUCGAUCAGUAGCUGGUCUGAGAGGACGGCCAGCCACACUGGGACUGAGACACGGCCCAGACUCCUACGGGAGGCAGCAGUGGGGAAUUUUGGACAAUGGGGGAAACCCUGAUCCAGCCAUGCCGCGUGAGUGAAGAAGGCCUUCGGGUUGUAAAGCUCUUUCAGCCGGAACGAAACGGUUACGGAUAAUACCCGUGACUACUGACGGUACCGGAAGAAGAAGCACSGGCUAACUACGUGCCAGCAGCCGCGGUAAUACGUAGGGUGCGAGCGUUAAUCGGAAUUACUGGGCGUAAAGCGUGCGCAGGUGGUUUUGUAAGUCAGAUGUGAAAGCCCCGAGCUCAACCUGGGAACUGCGUUUGAAACUACAAGACUAGAGUGUGGCAGAGGGGGGUGGAAUUCCGCGUGUAGCAGUGAAAUGCGUAGAGAUGUGGAGGAACACCGAUGGCGAAGGCAGCCCCCUGGGUUAACACUGACACUCAGGCACGAAAGCAUGGGGAGCAAACAGGAUUAGAUACCCUGGUAGUCCAUGCCCUAAACGAUGUCAACUAGUUGUCGGGCCUUUACGGGCUUGGUAACGUAGCUAACGCGUGAAGUUGACCGCCUGGGGAGUACGAUCGCAAGAUUAAAACUCAAAUGAAUUGACGGGGACCCGCACAAGCGGUGGAUUAUGUGGAUUAAUUCGAUGCAACGCGAAAAACCUUACCUACCCUUGACAUGUAUCGAAGCCCGCAGAAAAGCAGGGGUGCCCGAAAGGGAACGAUAACACAGGUGCUGCAUGGCUGUCGUCAGCUCGUGUCGUGAGAUGUUGGGUUAAGUCCCGCAACGAGCGCAACCCUUGUCAUUAAUUGCCAUCAUUUAGUUGGGCACUUUAAUGAGACUGCCGG